rnacentral:rRNA from 1 species
GAUGAACGCUGGCGGCGUGCCUAAUACAUGCCAGUCGAGCGAACGGACGAGAAGCUUGCUUUUCUGAUGUUAGCGGCGGACGGGUGAGUAACACGUGGAUAACCUACCUAUAAGACUGGGAUAACUUCGGGAAACCGGAGCUAAUACCGGAUAAUAUUUUGAACCGCAUGGUUCAAAAGUGAAAGACGGUCUUGCUGUCACUUAUAGAUGGAUCCGCGCUGCAUUAGCUAGUUGGUAAGGUAACGGCUUACCAAGGCAACGAUGCAUAGCCGACCUGAGAGGGUGAUCGGCCACACUGGAACUGAGACACGGUCCAGACUCCUACGGGAGGCAGCAGUAGGGAAUCUACCGCAAUGGGCGAAAGCCUGACGGAGCAACGCCGCGUGAGUGAUGAAGGUCUUCGGAUCGUAAAACUCUGUUAUUAGGGAAGAACAUAUGUGUAAGUAACUGUGCACAUCUUGACGGUACCUAAUCAGAAAGCCACGGCUAACUACGUG